AUUCUUGAUAAUCUUGAAUUAAGGUGCUUUAACAGUGGGCAGUUGAAUUAUUUCUUUUUUUUCCAUGUUGCAGACUUUUAUAGCUGACUAUACAGUAUGAAUUUUUCUCACUGUUGCUUUUUUCUUUGAUGCAUCUCAAAAUUCAGAAAAAGAGAGGCGGGCGAUACGAUUAGUAGAAGAACACUGUUUAAAACAAACAAAACAAGUCUACAAAAUACAAUAUAGAAAACUAAACACCGAGCAACACAAACCCCAUUAAAAACAGGGAGUAAUCUUAGCUGCUCUGGAAUGGUUAGCAUGUGACAUAUAUCCUAUUUCUUGGCCUCUUGGGUGAGUACAAAUUUUGGAGAUGAGUCUUAAUUUUGAUGAAAUGAUUUGCAAUACAAAAUGUUUAGAAAUAUACUUAAAUAUAGUCCGACAUGUCGGUAACAUAUAAGAAUCUUGAGUAACAGGACAGAGUUGGUAACAGAAAGGAUUUCUUUCUUAAAAAACAC
rnacentral:lncRNA from 1 species